GGCUCCACCCCGUCGGCACGCUAAGUGACAUAAAUCAAACACAACGAAAUGACCGGAACAGGUGGUACCGCUAAAGUUUUCAAAAUGGAUCUUCAGGUGAUGUCGGCGUUCAUUGAGGGGCUUGUACCUUCAGUGAGAUUAGUUUGUAAAGAAAUAUCCUGCUCACUUUACAACUUCACACACACUCAUUCCACCCCAAAAUGUUUAAAAAUGUUGAGUGUUUGGGACAUAAAGACUGAGUGGACUGCUUAAUGCUUGAAACAGCUUUAUUUGAAAGAUGUUGAUCCUGGAGCAUAUUGGGGGGACUUCAUGGUGCACAAGACUGACGGGAGGCCCUUCAAACCGCAGGUCCAUGGUUGGAUGCUUCUCUGCGGGCAAUAAGAGGACCGACAGGCUCUAUUUUCAAAAACCCAGUAGCGCAGCUACAUCGCAGUCAGGUGCACCUUGCCAAAUGUGUCAGGAACGUGCCAAACACACCUUUGGUAAUUUCGUUACCGGACUCUUGGUGCAGCUAUAGCACACAGUGCGCAGAAGGCAGAGGUGUAUAAGAUGCAACCCAGGGACCAACACAAACCCCAAGUCUUUCUCAGCACGUGAGAAAAGAAGGAUAAACCGGUUUCUUUCAAGCUCCAGGAACUCCGGAGCAGACUGUGAAUGGUAUCUUUUAUUUAUGGACGGCGUCGGUGUGAUACAUAAAUAAUUUCUUCAACAGGGUAUCGGGGGCUUGCAGUGCCAAUCCCAGCCGUGGCUGAUUUGCAAUUUAGGUGUGGCACUGAAGGCCAGUAGUGCUGGAUUUGGCAUUGAGAAAAAAUAGACAAGAGCUGUGAUCGUGUGUGACACUGAAUAGGAUUACCAUCUGUAGCCGAAGAGCCGAUUGCUGCCCUGGAUUGUAUUAAAAUGAGGGGACAUCAGAUUGGUUUGUGGUCGUGACAAGAAAGCAGAUUUUGUUUUAUAGCUUGAGCACGGUGCUUCUAAAUAGUCCUGCUUAAAGCUGCAUUUCAGAUACUGAUUUUAAUUCAAUUUUUUGUUGCAAUGGUUCAACUGCAAUUACAACCUACACAAAGUUUCUGGCAUAAGAGCUCAGUGAUACAAUGAUGGUUUCAAAUCAAAUACGUGACUUGUACCUUUUUAUGAUGAGAAUGUUGUUCUUUUUCACAUCUUUCUUGGGCUAAUGGAUGGAGGCAGAAAGGAGGCAUUGCUUCCUGUUAAGUCUGUUCCAUGAACUCUGAAAGGGCAGUAGGGAGAAAGUAUUUCCAUUAUGUUCCAGUAGAGGCAGCUUAACUUUCUCUUUGUUCUGUGUAUUGAUUCUAGUGUAUUGUGGCUCUGUGCGCCGAGCCAGUGAACCACCCACCAGCUGUCCUUGCGGUGUCAGCGAAGUGAAUAGGAGUUUGAUAAAGUCGCAGAUGUUAUGCUGCUCCCACUCCUCCGUAACUGCCAUUCCUGAUGUGUUGCUACAUACACGGAGUCAAUACAAUUUCAACCGUUGGAGCUGAACAUUGAUUAGGAUAGGUUGAAGGUCCUAUGUUUGUUUGUCUGUUUCACAUGUGUGUGUUUCAGGCAUUCACAUGUGAUGUUGAACCUGUACUCUGCACAAAAGCAUAAUUAUUGCCCUUUUUCAAUUUAUUUCUUAAUAACAUUUUUGGAAAUAGAGCAUGAUACAUACAUUUUAACAAUAAGUGGAUUUCUACCCUGCACUGAUUUCCCCUGUGAAUCUUUUUGCUUGGAAGUAUACCUGUGAAACUGAUUUUGCUGAUGUGUACAACUGAGUAAGGCUGCAACUCAUUGGGAGGCUUGGUCACAUCAUCAAGUUAAGGGACAACAAUUGCAGCUAAACCAAUUAAUUUGAAUGGAAUUGCUAUGAUCAAUAAAUUCAGUCGUAUGCAGAGACAAUGUA